AGCAGCCGCGGUAAUUCCAGCUCCAAUAGCGUAUAUUAAAGUUGUUGCAGUUAAAAAGCUCGUAGUUGAAUUUCGGGAUUGACACAUCGGUCGUGCCUUAAGGGGUAUGAACUGGUGUAGUCAAUUUCUCACCUUCUGGAGAACCGCGAUGUCCUUAAUUGGGUGCCGCGAGGAACCAGGACCUUUACUUUGAAAAAAUUAGAGUGUUUAAAGCAGGCAUUUUGCUUGAAUACAUUAGCAUGGAAUAAUAAAAUAGGACGGCAUGAUUCUAUUUUGUUGGUUUCUAGGAUCACCGUAAUGAUUAAUAGGGAUAGUUGGGGGCAUUAGUAUUCAAUUGUCAGAGGUGAAAUUCUUGGAUUUAUUGAAGACUAACUACUGCGAAAGCAUUUGCCAAGGAUGUUUUCAUUAAUCAAGAACGAAAGUUAGGGGAUCGAAGACGAUCAGAUACCGUCGUAGUCUUAACCAUAAACUAUGCCGACUAGGAAUCAGACGAUGUUAAUUUUUUAAUGACUCGUUUGGCACCUUACG
rnacentral:rRNA from 1 species